rnacentral:rRNA from 1 species
UACGUAGGUGGCAAGCGUUGUCCGGAUUUAUUGGGUUUAAAGGGUGCGUAGGCGGCCCUGUAAGUCAGUGCUGAAAUAUCCCGGCUUAACCGGGAGGGUGGCAUUGAUACUGCGGGGCUAGAGUACAGAUGAGGUAGGCGGAAUUGACGGUGUAGCGGUGAAAUGCUUAGAUAUCGUCAAGAACACCUAUAGCGAAGGCAGCUUACUAGGCUGUAACUGACGCUGAGGCACGAAAGUGUGGGAUCAAACAGG